rnacentral:rRNA from 1 species
UGAGUAAUGUAUGGGGAGUCUGCCCGAUAGAGGGGGAGUAACUACUGGAAACGGUGGCUAAUACCGCAUAAUGUCUACGGACCAAAGCAGGGGCUCUUCGGACCUUGCACUAUCGGAUGAACCCAUAUGGGAUUAGCUAGUAGGUGGGGUAAAGGCUCACCUAGGCGACGAUCUCUAGCUGGUCUGAGAGGAUGAUCAGCCACACUGGGACUGAGACACGGCCCAGACUCCUACGGGAGGCAGCAUG